AGCUCGUGUCGUGAGAUGUUGGUUAAGUCCGCAACGAGACGCAACCCCUAUUGUUAGUUGCCAUCAUUCAGUUGGGUCACUCUAGCGAGACUGCCGGUAAUAAACCGGAGGAAGGUGGGGAUGACGUCAAAUCAUCAUGCCCCUUAUGACCUGGGCUACACACGUGCUACAAUGGUUGGUACAACGAGUUGCGAGUCGGUGACGGCGAGCUAAUCUCUUAAAGCCAAUCUCAGUUCGGAUUGUAGGCUGCAACUCGCCUACAUGAAGUCGGAAUCGCUAGUAAUCGCGGAUCAGCACGCCGCGGUGAAUACGUUCCCGGGCCUU
rnacentral:rRNA from 1 species